UUAAAAUUUUUAUUUUUGGUUAUAAUUUCUAAAUUAAUUAUGAUAUUUAAAAUUACGUACCAGAUAACUCGGCUAUACGUAUUAAGCUUUAACUAUUUUUAUUUUAUUAUUAUUUUUUUUUAUUUAUUAAUUUAUUUUUUUUUGUGAAAAAUAUGAAGAUUAUAUUUUAAUAGGAAAUAAUAUUUAGUUUAUUAUUGACUUGGUUUAGUAUCCAAUUAAUAAAAUAUUAAAUUAAUCUAAAGUAAGGUUAUAUUAAAUAGAAAUAAUUUGUCUGAAAUAACAUUUUUUUUUGGGAUUUGAUGGUUAAUUGGUUAAAACACCUUUUAACUAUUUUUAUUGUUUUUUGAAUGACUCUUAAAUUUAUUUAUUUUAUUAAUUAAAUAUUAUUAUUGAGGUAAAUACAAAAAUUAUAAAAUAGUCUUAAUUUAGUCACAAUUUUUUAUAAUAUGGAUAUAAUUUAGUUAAUUAUUGAAAUUGGAAAAAAAAGUAAAUUAAAAAUUAAUUUUUUUUUGAAUUAAAUCUUUAUUUAGUACUAAUUGUCCAUCAUUACUUUAUAAGUAAAAGUUGUAGCAAAGUAGAUUUAUAUGAAUUUGAAUCUAGGA
rnacentral:rRNA from 1 species